rnacentral:rRNA from 1 species
UACAGAGGUCUCAAGCGUUGUUCGGAUUCAUUGGGCGUAAAGGGUGUCGUAGGCGGCGCGUAAGUCGGGUGUGAAAUUCGCGACUUAACUCCGAAACUGCAUUCGAUACUGCGUGCUUGAGGACUGGAGAGGAGACUGGAAUUCAUGGUGUAGCAGUGAAAUGCGUAGAGAUCAUGAGGAAGACCAGUGGCGAAGGCGGGUCUCUGGACAGUUCCUGACGCUGAGGCACGAAGGCCAGGGGAGCAAACGGG